CAUCAUCACCGCUCAGGCAGUAAAAACUAAGGAAAAAGAGUAAGUCAUAGAAAGACCCAAGGAGACAAACAGGGGGAAGCAUGAUAAAGGUCAGACCAGCCUAUCACCUAAGAAGGAUCAUCAUUAAGCAAAGGCCAGGAGCCCAGAACGAAGCGAUGAAGACGCCUCGGAAUCUUACAAAGUUAUGGGUCAGAAGCUCAACCCAUUGAUUAAAAGCAAAGCUCACAGGUCGGUUAGUC
rnacentral:lncRNA from 1 species